rnacentral:tRNA from 1 species
GCCCGGGUGGCGAAACAGGCACACGCACAACACUUAAAAUGUUGCGGUCGCAAGACCAUGCGGGUUCAAUUCCCGCCCCGGGCACCA